GACGAACGCUGGCGGCGUGCUUAACACAUGCAAGUCGAACGCUGAAGCUCAGCUUGCUGGGUGGAUGAGUGGCGAACGGGUGAGUAACACGUGAGUAACCUGCCCUCUUCUUUGGGAUAACGCCCGGAAACGGGUGCUAAUACUGGAUAUUCACUGAUUCUCGCAUGGGGGUUGGUGGAAAGGUUUUUUCUGGUGGGGGAUGGGCUCGCGGCCUAUCAGCUUGUUGGUGGGGUGAUGGCCUACCAAGGCUUUGACGGGUAGCCGGCCUGAGAGGGUGACCGGGUAAAUUGGGGAUGAGGUAAGGCCCAGAAUCCUACCGGGGGCAGCAGUGGGGGAUAUUGGAAAAAGGGCGGAAGCCUGAAUGAGCGACGGCGGGUGAGGGGUGGAGGGCUUUGGGUUGUUAAACUCUUUCGCGUAAGGUUCAGGCGGAGCGUUGGGUUGUGGGGAGGGUAGUGGGGUAAGAAGCGCCGGCUAACUACGUG
rnacentral:rRNA from 1 species